GGGGGAUAACACCUGGAAACAGAUGCUAAUACCGCAUAACAACUUGGACCGCAUGGUCCGAGCUUGAAACCUGGCUUCGGCUAUCACUUUUGGAUGGUCCCGCGGCGUAUUAGCUAGAUGGUGGGGUAACGGCUCACCAUGGCAAUGAUACGUAGCCGACCUGAGAGGGUAAUCGGCCACAUUGGGACUGAGACACGGCCCAGACUCCUACGGGAGGCAGCAGUAGGGAAUCUUCCACAAUGGACGAAAGUCUGAUGGAGCAACGCCGCGUGAGUGAAGAAGGGUUUCGGCUCGUAAAACUCUGUUGUUAAAGAAGAACAUAUCUGAGAGUAACUGUUCAGGUAUUGACGGUAUUUAACCAGAAAGCCACGGCUAACUACGUGCCAGCAGCCGCGGUAAUACGUAGGUGGCAAGCGUUGUCCGGAUUUAUUGGGCGUAAAGCGAGCGCAGGCGGUUUUUUAAGUCUGAUGUGAAAGCCUUCGGCUCAACCGAAGAAGUGCAUCGGAAACUGGGAAACUUGAGUGCAGAAGAGGACAGUGGAACUCCAUGUGUAGCGGUGAAAUGCGUAGAUAUAUGGAAGAACACCAGUGGCGAAGGCGGCUGUCUGGUCUGUAACUGACGCUGAGGCUCGAAAGUAUGGGUAGCAAACAGGAUUAGAUACCCUGGUAGUCCAUACCGUAAACGAUGAAUGCUAAGUGUUGGAGGGUUUCCGCCCUUC
rnacentral:rRNA from 1 species